GCUCAGCAGUUGACUGUUGUAAAGAGAGACAGCAGAGGUCAACAGUAGAUCAGAUACAAAUAGAUUUCACGAGGUGCAAAACACAACUGCAGGUCUGC